GACGAACGCUGGCGGCGUGCUUAACACAUGCAAGUCGAACGGAAAGGCCCUGCUUUUGUGGGGUGCUCGAGUGGCGAACGGGUGAGUAACACGUGAGUAACCUGCCCUUGACUUUGGGAUAACUUCAGGAAACUGGGGCUAAUACCGGAUAGGAGCUCCUGCUGCAUGGUGGGGGUUGGAAAGUUUCGGCGGUUGGGGAUGGACUCGCGGCUUACCAGCUUGUUGGUGGGGUAGUGGCUUACCAAGGCUUUGACGGGUAGCCGGCCUGAGAGGGUGACCGGCCACAUUGGGACUGAGAUACGGCCCAGACUCCUACGGGAGGCAGCAGUGGGGAAUAUUGCACAAUGAGCGGAAGCCUGAUGCAGCAACGCCGCGUGCGGGAUGACGGCCUUCGGGUUGUAAACCGCUUUCGCCUGUGACGAAGCGUGAGUGACGGUAAUGGGUAAAGAAGCACCGGCUAACUACGUG
rnacentral:rRNA from 1 species